rnacentral:rRNA from 1 species
AUUGAACGCUGGCGGCAGGCCUAACACAUGCAAGUCGAACGCGUGGCGGACGGGUGAGUAAUGUCUGGGAAACUGCCUGAUGGAGGGGGAUCACCACUGGACACGGUCUCUAAUCCCGUAUACCAUCGUAUGUGCCCAGAUGGGAUUAGCUUGUAGGUGGGGUAACGGCUCACCUAGGCGACGAUCCCUAGCUGGUCUGAGAGGAUGACCAGCCACACUGGAACUGAGACACGGUCCAGACUCCUACGGGAGGCAGCAGUGGGGAAUAUUGCACAAUGGGCGCAAGCCUGAUGCAGCCAUGCCGCGUGUAUGAAGAAGGCCUUCGGGUUGUAAAGUACUUUCAGCGGGGAGGCGUUACCCGCAGAAGAAGCACCGGCUAACUCCGUGCCAGCAGCCGCGGUAAUUC